AGGACGGGCCGCGCCAGGACGGGACGGGCCUGGCCUGCCAGUCAGACAGACAGCGGUUCCCUUCACUCACCCCGCGACGCCGCUGUCGGAGGAACAGCCAAUAUUUUCUCCUCUGGAACAUUUGAGCGAUAUAACAGAUGGACUCUGUAAAGCAAUUAAAAACAACACGCCUGGAAAUAACUGAAAAGUACAUUUUCAAAAAAAUCAAAGGAAAGGAUUUAACUAUAUCUGAGAUAAUCUCAAAAACAGAUGACAAACUAUGUGAAGCCAAACGUAAUCCAUCUGAUUAUCACUUUGGUCGUUGAAAGAUUGAGCAAUUAGGAAAAGCAAUUAUCAUGAAAUCCAAAGUGAUUCUUUAAUCACAGACUAUUAUCUUCAAGAUGUUGAACAAUAAUUUCAUUCAGAAGCUUAUGGCCAGGAAGAAUACAAUGCUGAUGGAUCGAUAGUCUUACAGAAGUGUUGGGUCUCCCUCUUCCUAAAAGAAAAUGUUUUUUCCCUCACACCGAUGUUGGUCAGUGAAGAUAGUCUGAGGCCUUCAGCAGUGACCUGCAUCAGCCAAUGUCAGCCACUAGAUAGAACCCUGAUCAAUC